GGGAAAAUUACUUAGCAAGUCAAGGGGAAGCACGGUGUAAAAUAUAUUGUGUGGCGACCGUGCGCACGGGUGAGUAACCCUUAUGAAACCUACCUAUCAGAGGGGAAUAACCCGGCGAACCUUAGAAUAAUACCGCAUAAAACAGGGGUUCCACAUGGAAAUAUUUGUUAAAGAAUAAUCGCUGAUAGAUGGGCAUGCGUUCCAUUAGAUAGUUGGUGAGGUAACGGCUCACCAAGUCCACGAUGGAUAGGGGUUCUGAAAGGAAGGACCCCCACACUGGUACUGAAACACGGACCAAACUCCUACGGGAGGCACUCAAUGAGGAAUAUUGGUCAAUGGGCGAGAGCCUGAACCAGCCAACUCGCGUGAAGGAUGAAGGAUCUAUGGUUUGUAAACUUCUUUUAGAUGGGAAUAAAGUGAGGAACGUGUUCCUUUUUGUAUGUACCAUAUGAAUAAGCAUCGGCUAACUCCGUGCCAGCAGCCGCGGUAAUACGGAGGAUGCGAGCGUUAUCCGGAUUUAUUGGAUUUAAAGGGAGCGUACGUGGUUAAUUACGUCAGCGGUGAAAGUUUGUGGCUCAACCAUAAAAUUGCCGUUGAAACUGGUUGACUUGCGUAUAUUUGAGGUAGGCGGAAUGCGUGGUGUACCGGUGAAAUGCAAACAUAUAACGCAGAACUCCCACUGCCAAGGCAGCUUACCAACUAUAACUGGAAACUGACCCACAACAACGAGGGGAUCUAACUGGAAUUAAU
rnacentral:rRNA from 1 species